AUGGCUUCACACGUUCACCCCGCCGACGCCGACCGCUUCGAUGUCUCCGUGCCGAUGCGUAUGAUUUCUCCGGGAACUAGGAUCGACUGGGACAGGGAGGAGCACCGGCGCUGCAUCGCCGCCUGCCUUGUCAAAGGGACGUACGUGCUCGAGAACGACAGGACACUGUGCAGGAUAGAGCCGAAAGCGCUGGCGCCGGCGUGGUGGAAGAGCUUCCACUUCGACCUGGUGGACGUGCUCACAGACCGCUCGUUCAUGCAUAGGCGUGAUCAAUUCAUCUUCGGCGCCAUCUUUGAGCACGUGGCCCCGGCUCCUCGCCACCCAUCCGCUCCGCGCUACAUCGUCGCCUUCCGAGGAACCAUGCCGCUGCAUCCCAAGGCGGUGCAUGACUUCUGCCUCGACUUCAAGGUCAUCUUCAACACGCUGCCCGACUCAAAGCGCUGCAAGCGCGCGCGCCUCGGGGUGGAGAGCCUCCUCGCCACCAUCCCCGCCGACAGGGCCGGCCCUGGGGAGGGGCAGGGGGGGGCGGCCGCCCCGGGCCCCCAAAAUCCAGGGGCCCCCCCGAUAGUUAGGCUAUAG
rnacentral:rRNA from 1 species